UUCAGGUGUAAAUCACAACUGAGGCUUAUGGCUGCUAUUUUUAAAGGGGGCCCACAGCAAUCUUUUGGCUACAUUUAUGGUGCUAGAAGCUAUGCUAUAGUUUUAGUGCACUGGUUCAGGCAGGUGUUUGGUGUCAAGAGUUUGGUAGUUGUCCGUAACUACAGCAGUUUAUCACUGGGGCAAGUUCACAAACCCACGUUUUUCUGUCUCUCUGUGAAUUUGGUAAUACAUUUACCAUGACAACCAACACUUUGAAAGAAAUGGUGUGACUGUAGAGCUAACGGCAUGUGCUUCUGUGCUUACUCACAAUUAAUGUACUCCAGUAACCAGAAAUCUGGGUCAUGCUGAUCCACUGGGGAUAACUUAACCAAGAUAGCCAGAACUCCUUGCAUGUCAAGAGAAGUCCUGUAUGGGAGUCUAAAUUGUGCAAGUUCAAAAACCAUGUGAAUAUUUAAAAGUUAUAUGUUUCUCCCCUAAAUUCCAAAUAUUCAAUUUCUUAAUGUUUUUGGCUUUGCUUUUUAUAUUCAAAAUGGCCUCUCUGUGUACGCCAGGCUGACCUCAUAUUCAAAACUAAUGAAUACCAAAUUGUUAUUACUAUAUAGUGCCUGUUUAGCACAAGGAACACUUUUUAAUGGGUGCUUUGAGAUUUUCGUGAAUAAUUUGCUAACUUGUGCUUCUAUUUUAAUACGCAAUUAUCUUUUUCAAACUCUAGCAUUUAUUAAUUUUUAUUUUAUUUUUUUAGCGUUUAUGGAAUCGGACUCAGGGUCUUGCACAUUCUUGGCAAGCACUCUCCCUACUGUGCUCUGCUCCAAGCCCAGGCUAAGAAAUACCUCGCACUCGCCCAUCGAUAGGGAAAGAAACUGCGUACUCUGUCCUGCCUCCAUUUCCGGAUCUGAUCGGGACGGAUCGACGCAGAGAGAGCGACAACCCUGCCUUCCCGCGUCCAACCAGGGAAAAGGAGCGGGCUGGGACACGCAUGCGCUUUCCGAAGUUUGUGGAGUUCCGUUCCUCUUGUUUUUGUAAAAGUCACCUAGGGAGAAGAGGCUGAGUCACUUCCUCCAUGCUUUUACCUUGGGGCGCUGGGAAGGGACCCCAAGGGCCUCGCGAGUGUUAGGCGUGUACUCUAGCCACUUUCUCAUUUCUGUGGCGCAGUUCUGCUACGCCAGCCUGUCAUUGUCAUCACUACUACUUCCGCCGCGCUCUCCGGCGCCACGUGGCUUCACUCCUGUGAGAACUCGGCUGUCACUCUCCUUUUCGUCCCGGGAGCCGUUCGCGUCCCUUGGAACCUGGGCGUGGCUCUUUCUGCGCACGCACAGCGCUUUAAACCCCACUGGCGGGAGGGCACAGCGCCCCCUAGCGAGCGACGCCCGGGACACAAAACGAGGCUCAACGCCACCCUUGCGCACGCGCAGUGCACGUUCGGCGGGAGCGCAGUUUGGCGCCUCGGAGAGGGCGCGCGGCGCACCCGGCGGCCCAGGGCGAUGCGCACAAAGGCCGGCGGGCAGGGUUUCGGGAGGCUGUGUAGGGACCGAACGGUACCCAUCGUGCCGCUUGCCUCCGCUGUGGGGUCUCCUCUACCUUGAGGUGCUUGUAUUUUGGGGCUUGUGGUGUCUCUGGGCUUUUGCGUCAUACUUCAUAAUGGAGGGCGCCAGACCUAGGGCAAGCUUCUAAACUUGCGGCGUAGAACCGGAUACCGGAAGUUCCUCGGGCAGGCUCCCGGAAGUGAUCCAGUCAAAGAACUAAUCGCAUAAACCUUAUCCUAGUUCCCAGGGCGGCAAGAGGAGGUAUAUGGCUGUAUAAACGUGAAACUACAAGGGUUGCGUGGAGAACCCGGGCCCCUUCACACUUGGCUCGCGUUCCUUUUUUAAGGUGUUGCUGCAGAGAGGGAGUUUACUCGAGCUCCAUAUGAGUGACUGGUCCGGGAUGACAGAUUCAAGUCAUUUCAAACUCCAUUUUUAAUGUAGUAACGACUUGAUAAAGUUUUAUAUAACAGAACAAAGUUAUAAAUCAAGAAAGACACGUUUCAAAUCCUUGUGUUCCUCGCAUUCAAUGCUGACCCCGAACCCUACUUAGAGGCUGCUGUGUACAUGAAUUAAAAAUUGCUUUAAUUGGUUGCUUUGAUUAAUUAA